GAACGAGAAAGUGGAGCAAUCCAUGAGUACAGUGGCGACCGGGUGAGUAACACGUGACCAACCUACCCUCGAGUGGGGAAUAACUCCGGGAAACCGGAGCUAAUACCGCAUAACAUCGCAAGAUCAAAGCCGCAAGGCGCUUGAGGAGGGGGUCGCGGCUGAUUAGCUAGUUGGUAGGGUAAUGGCCUACCAAGGCGAAGAUCGGUAGCCGGCCUGAGAGGGCGCACGGCCACACUGGAACUGAAACACGGUCCAGACUCCUACGGGAGGCAGCAGUGGGGAAUUUUGCGCAAUGGGGGAAACCCUGACGCGGCAACGCCGCGUGGAGGAUGAAGUCCCUUGGGACGUAAACUCCUUUCGACCGGGACGAUACUGACGGUACCGGAAGAAGAAGCACCGGCUAACUCUGUG
rnacentral:rRNA from 1 species